rnacentral:pre_miRNA from 1 species
CGUGUCCUCGCUCAUUUUGUUGACAAUUACGGCUGAUCAUAGACGGAGCCAGGACACGGU